rnacentral:rRNA from 1 species
ACGGUAACGGUUCGAGCUUGCUGAGCCGACGAAGCGGCGGAACGGGUGAGUAAUGCAUAGGAAUCUGCCCAGUCGUGGGGGAUAACCUGGGGAAACCCAUGCUAAUACCGCAUACGUCCUACGGGAGAAAGCGGGGGCUCUUCGGACCUCGCGCGAUUGGAUGAGCCUAUGUCGGAUUAGCUAGUUGGUGAGGUAACGGCUCACCAAGGCGACGAUCCGUAGCUGGUCUGAGAGGAUGAUCAGCCACACCGGGACUGAGACACGGCCCGGACUCCUACGGGAGGCAGCAGUGGGGAAUAUUGGACAAUGGGCGCAAGCCUGAUCCAGCCAUGCCGCGUGUGUGAAGAAGGCUUUCGGGUUGUAAAGCACUUUCAGUGGGGAAGAAAGCGUGCCGGCCAAUACCCGGUACGGACGACAUCACCCACAGAAGAAGCACCGGCUAACUCCGUGCCAGCAGCCGCGGUAAUACGGAGGGUGCGAGCGUUAAUCGGAAUUACUGGGCGUAAAGCGCGCGUAGGCGGCUAAGUAAGCCGGUUGUGAAAGCCCCGGGCUCAACCUGGGAAUGGCAUCCGGAACUGUUUAGCUAGAGUGCAGGAGAGGAAGGUAGAAUUCCCGGUGUAGCGGUGAAAUGCGUAGAGAUCGGGAGGAAUACCAGUGGCGAAGGCGGCCUUCUGGACUGACACUGACGCUGAGGUGCGAAAGCAUGGGUAGCAAACAGGAUUAGAUACCCUGGUAGUCCAUGCCGUAAACGAUGUCGACUAGCCGUUGGGUCCCUUGAGGACUUAGUGGCGCAGUUAACGCGAUAAGUCGACCGCCUGGGGAGUACGGCCGCAAGGUUAAAACUCAAAUGAAUUGACGGGGGCCCGCACAAGCGGUGGAGCAUGUGGUUUAAUUCGAUGCAACGCGAAGAACCUUACCUACCCUUGACAUCCUGCGAACCCUCCGGAGACGGAGGGGUGCCUUCGGGAGCGCAGAGACAGGUGCUGCAUGGCUGUC